rnacentral:rRNA from 1 species
UUCGCAGGCGGCGUAUUAAGUCAGUGGUGAAAUCCCGAGGCUCAACCUCGGAACUGCCAUUGAUACUGGUAUGCUAGAGUAUAGUUGGCGUUGGCGGAAUAUAUCAUGUAGCGGUGAAAUGCUUAGAUAUGAUAUAGAACACCGAUCGCGAAGGCAGCUAACGAAACUAUAACUGACGCUCAGGAACGAAAGCGUGGGGAGCAAACCGGAUUAGAUACCCGCGUAGUCC